rnacentral:lncRNA from 1 species
AAGCUUGAUUUUGAUACAAAAAGUAGUGGAGAAUCACUAGGAAGUUGAAUAAAUCUCAUAUGAGUUAGGAUGAAGAAGCUAUCCCACUUUCAGAUCAAGUGAUCCCAGUUUUCCUUUUUGGGAAUAUGACAGCUUCCUUGUCAUUCUAAUCAAACCAGGAUGAAUUGCAAUGUAAAAAGCUUCAAUAGGAUACAUAAAGUAGGAGAGAACCACCAGGAGGUUGAAUAAAUCUCAUAGGAGUUAGGAUGAAGAAGCUAUCCCACUUUCAAAUCAGGUGAUCCCAGUUUUCCUGUUUGGGAAUAUGACAGCUUCUUUUUCAUUCUAAUCAAACAAGGAUGAAUCGCGAUGUAAGAAGCUUGAUUUUGAUACAUAAAGUAAUGGAGAAUCACUAGGAAGUUGAAUAAAUCUCAUAGGAGUUAGGAUGAAGAAGCUAUCCCACUUUCAAAUCAGGUGAUCCCAGUUUUCCUAUUUGGGAAUAUGACAGC